GACGAACGCUGGCGGCGUGCUUAACACAUGCAAGUCGAACGGUGAAGCUCCAAGCUUGCUUGGGGUGGAUCAGUGGCGAACGGGUGAGUAACACGUGAGUAACCUGCCCCGGACUCUGGAAUAAGCGCUGGAAACGGCGUCUAAUACUGGAUAUGACAUCAAGCCGCAUGGUUAUGGUGUGGAAAGUUUUUCGGUCCGGGAUGGGCUCGCGGCCUAUCAGCUUGUUGGUGGGGUAAUGGCCUACCAAGGCGACGACGGGUAGCCGGCCUGGGAGGGCGACCGGCAACACUGGGACGGAGACACGGCCCAGAAUCCUACGGGAGGCAGCAGUGGGGAAUAGUGCGCAAUGGGCGAAAGCCCGACGCAGCGACGCCGCGUGAGGGACGAGGGUCUUCGGAUUGUAAACCUCUUUCAGCAGGGACGAAGCGAAAGUGACUGUACCUGCAGAAGAAGCACCGGCUAACUACGUGCCAGCCGCCGCCGUAACAC
rnacentral:rRNA from 1 species